rnacentral:rRNA from 1 species
AGAGUUUGAUCCUGGCUCAGAACGAACGUUAGCGGCGCGCCUAACACAUGCAAGUCGCACGAGAAAGGGCUUCGGCCCCGGUAAAGUGGCGCACGGGUGAGUAACACGUAGGUAAUCUCCCCUCAAGUGGUGGAUAACCCUCCGAAAGGAGAGCUAAUACAGCAUAAGACCACGAGCUCCUCGGAGCUUGCGGCCAAAGCAGGCCUCUACAUGUAAGCUUGCGCUGGAGGAUGAGCCUGCGGCCCAUCAGGUAGUUGGCAGGGUAACGGCCUACCAAGCCUAAGACGGGUAGCUGGUCUGAGAGGAUGAACAGCCACACUGGAACUGACACACGGUCCAGACUCCUACGGGAGGCAGCAGUGGGGAAUCUUGCGCAAUGGGCGAAAGCCUGACGCAGCGACGCCGCGUGAGCGAUGAAGGCCUUCGGGUUGUAAAGCUCUGUGGGGAGGGAAGAAUAAGGGUUGGCUAAUAUCCAGCUCGAUGACGGUACCUCCUUAGCAAGCACCGGCUAACUCUGUGCCAGCAGCCGCGGUAAUACAGAGGGUGCAAACGUUGUUCGGAAUUACUGGGCGUAAAGCGCGUGCAGGCGGCCUUGCAAGUCGGACGUGAAAUCCCACGGCUCAACCGUGGAAGUGCAUUCGAAACUGCGAGGCUGGAGUCCUGGAGAGGAAAGUGGAAUACUCGGUGUAGAGGUGAAAUUCGUAGAUAUCGAGUGGAACACCGGUGGCGAAGGCGGCUUUCUGGACAGGUACUGACGCUG